UGGGGAAUUUUGGACAAUGGGCGAAAGCCUGAUCCAGCCAUGCCGCGUGAGUGAAGAAGGCCUUCGGGUUGUAAAGCUCUUUUAGUCGGAAAGAAAGAUUUGCAAUGAAUAAUUGUGAUUUAUGACGGUACCGACAGAAAAAGCACCGGCUAACUACGUGCCAGCAGCCGCGGUAAUACGUAGGGUGCGAGCGUUAAUCGGAAUUACUGGGCGUAAAGGGUGCGCAGGCGGUCUUGCAAGUCAGAUGUGAAAGCCCCGGGCUUAACCUGGGAAUUGCGUUUGAAACUACAAGGCUAGAGUGCAGCAGAGGGGAGUGGAAUUCCAUGUGUAGCAGUGAAAUGCGUAGAGAUGUGGAAGAACACCGAUGGCGAAGGCAGCUCCCUGGGUUGACACUGACGCUCAUGCACGAAAGCGUGGGGAGCAAACA
rnacentral:rRNA from 1 species